ACUACUUCAAUGGCUCCAGCGAGUUUUUGUGACCCAUGCACUGAGGCUGAUUCGGCACUACCAGCAACAAAGUAUUUCUCCGAUUGUAAAGAGCGACUGUGCACAGCCUGCGCUGAGUCAUAUCACGGUUUAGAGCAUUCAAAUCUCAUCAUGUUAUAUCUUUGUCGUCUGUCGGUUCCAAUAUCACACUAUCGGCGAAGAAAAUCUGUAACGUUCAUAUAGAUAUGCUUUUAGAUUAUUAUUGCACAGAUCAUGAUGUUGUUUGCUGUAGAGCAUGCAUUCCUCAAGCCCACAGAAAAUGUGAAAAUGUUCUUCCAUUGGAACAUGUAUCGAAAGAUGUCAAAAAUUCUGCAUUGUUCACCGAAUUAAUGGCGGAGAUAAAGCAUCUAAAAACAACAUUAAAUGAUUUACACGAUAACAGAGAAUC
rnacentral:lncRNA from 1 species